GUGAGGAAUAUUGCGCAAUGGAGGCAACUCUGACGCAGCCAUGCCGCGUGCAGGAAGAAGGCGCUACGCGUUGUAAACUGCUUUUAACCGGGAAGAAACCCCAGGACGUGUCCUGGGUUGACGGUACCGGAGGAAUAAGCACCGGCUAACUUCGUGCCAGCAGCCGCGGUAAUACGAAGGGUGCAAGCGUUAUCCGGAUUCAUUGGGUUUAAAGGGUGCGUAGGCGGAGCGUUAAGUCAGUGGUGAAAUCCUGCAGCUUAACUGUAGACUUGCCAUUGAUACUGGCGCUCUUGAGUGCGCUUGAAGUGGGCGGAAUGUGCCGUGUAGCGGUGAAAUGCUUAGAUAUGGCACAGAACGCCAAUUGCGAAGGCAGCUCACUAAGGCGAUACUGACGCUGAGGCACGAAAGCGUGGGGAUCGAACAGGAUUAGAAACCCGGGUAGCC
rnacentral:rRNA from 1 species